AACCUCCGCAAUGUGAGAAAUCGCGACGGGGGGAUCCCAAGUGCCAUUCUUAACGGGAUGACUUUUCAUUAGUGUAAAGAGCUUUUGGAAUAAGGGCUGGGCAAGACCGGUGCCAGCCGCCGCGGUAACACCGGCAGCUCUAGUGGUAGCAGUUUUUAUUGGGCCUAAAGCGUCCGUAGCCGGUUUAAUAAGUCUCUGGUGAAAUCCUGUAGCUUAACUGUGGGAAUUGCUGGAGAUACUAUUAGACUUGAGACCGGGAGAGGUUAGAGGUACUCCCAGGGUAGAGGUGAAAUUCUGUAAUCCUGGGAGGACCGCCUGUUGCGAAGGCGUCUAACUGGAACGGUUCUGACGGUGAGGGACGAAAGUUAGGGGCGCGAACCGGAUUAGAUACCCGGGUAGUCCUAACUGUAAACGAUGCGGACUUGGUGUUGGGGUGGCUUUGAGCUGCUCCAGUGCCGAAGGGAAGCUGUUAAGUCCGCCGCCUGGGAAGUACGGUCGCAAGACUGAAACUUAAAGGAAUU
rnacentral:rRNA from 1 species